ACCUGCGGAAGGAUCAUUACUGAGUGGCUCGGCCUUUAUGGCUGGUUACCCGACCUUUUGUCAUUCGCUCUGGGGGUUACCCGGGGCGCGGUUUCGGUCAAGAAACUCCCGAUAACAAGGGGGGGACGGGCCGAGCCGCGCACGGGCGACCUUCAGCAAUCAUAACUUCGGCGGAAGAGGUAGGCGUCGACCUGCCCGCCGCCGGCCGUAUUUUCCACUCUUGUGAGAAUCUGAAGCCUGUGAAAACAAAAGAAAUAAGAAAAGCAAAACUUUCAACAACGGAUCUCUUGGCUCUGGCAACGAUGAAGAACGCAGCGAAACGCGAAAGUUAAUGCGAAUUGCAGAAUCAGUGAGUCAUCGAGUUUUUGAACGCACAUUGCGCCUCUCGGUAUUCCGGGAGGCACGCCUGUUCGAGCGCCAUUACAAACUCCAAGCGUAGCUUGAUGUUGGACGAUGUCUUUCUCUGUCGGGAGUCUAGCACUUCUGGGAGGACACGUCUGGAACGCGUGGGCGCCGCCGCCGGACCACGAGCGUAGCAAGACGCAAGUCAUUUUCGCUCUGUAGGACAUUUCGGUCGGACGGUCUAGCCUUGUCACAACACACACACCAAAAGUUUGGCCUCGGAUCAGGCGGGGAUACCCGCUGAACUUAAGCAUAUCAAUAA
rnacentral:rRNA from 1 species